rnacentral:lncRNA from 1 species
GUUUGUACAUGUUUAUUUUUAUUAUUUUAAUUCUUAGUUAUUUCUUAUUUUAAACACAAUUUAUGGAAACAGGAAUUAAGAACGUGUCAAGGUCUUUUGUGGGUGUUGGUUUCAGAUAAAGAGAAGGAAACAAGUUUCGUUGGAUAUGUAUCGUCUGACUCACAUUUCUUUCUUCCCUUUUCUUGUAGAGAUGCUGCAGAAGAUUCUAACAUGAAACCAGUUGGUACCAGGUGUGAGAGCUGUGAGCUGCAGAUGUGAGUAAACGACUUUCUGUAGCCAAUGAUUUAUAGUAAGACUAGAUCGUUGUUAAUUUUAAUAAAUUUGUAGAAAAUGAACAGAUCGAAUACAUUUUUAAAUUAAUUCUCAAUCAAAGGAUCAUUAUCUAGUAAAUAUAAUUUAUUUAAUGACCAGUACAAAUGUCCAUCAAACGCUUCCAAUUUACUAUGGACUCUUUGUAGCUUGUGCUUGUCCACAGUGAAGCGUUCUCUUCAUGAGGACUCAGACUUGAUGUGAGGAUGGGACACACUUUCCUCUGUGAGCUGCAGUUUCUAUUGCUGAUCAGACUUUUCUGGUGUGGACACGCUGAAGAUGCUGUGUUGACCCUUGAACCCAACUGGACCAGAUUUGUUCCUGGAGAGUCUGUGACCUUCACAUGUGACAUGAAGGAGGGAGAAAAUACUGACUGGGAAAUUAGAUUCACCAAAGAUGGACAAAAGUUUGUUCGUGAUAGUUCAGCUCCAACUCUAACAAUAAAAAAACUUUUUACAAGACACAGUGGUAAAUACCAGUGCUCUGGUCUUCACAAGACUAAAAAACAUAUGAAAAUCAGUAAAAGCAUCUCUUUAAUUGUAUCAGGUGAGUUUUAAUUUAUGAUUUAUUACAAUGAUUGUGCUCCUGUUUGGCACUUUCACGGCCUGGACUCACUUCAUGUUUUAUUUUCCUAUACUUCCUGUUUUGUCUUGUCACUUUUGUUUUAGCUUUACUUUGCAGUCACAUGAUAUCACCAGCUGUAUUCCAUCAAUCUUUACUCACCUGUGUUUUUUCAUCCAGUAUUUAGGCACCACCUCUCACCCCAGCACCUUGCCAGAUUGUCUGUGUGUACUAGCCAGCAUUCCAGCAUUGUAUGUCGUAGCUUGAUCCGUGUAUGACCCUGUUUUCCCUGACCUUGCCUCCUGCCUCACCUUUGAUCCUGCUUCACUAUAAGUCUGACCUAAGCCUGCCUCCUGACCACCGACUGUCUGAUCCUUGCCUGCGCCGCUACUGCCUCAAUUGUGUAUCGACGCUUGCCUGCCUGACUACGAGUUCUAUUAAACCUUCUUCAUCACCGAGCUUUGUCUCCGCUGUGCAUGUGGGUCCGCUACCCAGAGCGCUGUGACAGGCACAGUGGUUGGAGCAUUGGGCUGCUGACUCCCAGGUCAUGGGUUUGAAUCUAGCUGCACAGGUUGUAAGCCAGUGACUUCUAAAUAGAGGGGUUGUGUCAGGAAGUGCGUCCCUGACAGGAAAAACAUGAUAACAAUGAUGAUGUUUACAACAUACUUUUGAUUUUGUUUGGCCAAAUUAUGUUUAAAUCUGUGUUUAAAUGUAGACUCAUCAUGUUGAUCUCACUGUGUGAAGACUGUUUUGAUCAUUCUGAUAAAUUCUGCUGGAUCAUUGUGUUUUACUGUGUAAAUGUGGUAUUCAGUGGUUAAACUAUUGUUGUCACGCAAUAUAAAAAGGUUACUUGAUUUUUUUACUAAACACAUUUUACUUAAUUAAAUUGAUUACAUUUUGAUUUCUUCUUUUUUAGUUGAGACUGCUGCCGUCCAUUCUUUUUACUGUUCUUCUAUACUGCUGUACUGUUUAAUGUCUUCUCGCUGCUGUAGACAAAAGAAUUUCCCCAUUCUGGAAUGAAUAAACUUUAUCUUCUCUUAUCUUAUGUAUUUAGA